rnacentral:rRNA from 1 species
GACGAACGCUGGCGGCGUGCUUAACACAUGCAAGUCGAACGGAAAGGCCCAGCUUGCUGGGUGCUCGAGUGGCGAACGGGUGAGUAACACGUGGGUGAUCUGCCCCUAACUUCGGGAUAAGCUUGGGAAACUGGGUCUAAUACCGGAUAGGACAAUCGUUUAGUGUCGGUUGUGGAAAGUUUUUUCGGUUAGGGAUGAGCCCGCGGCCUAUCAGCUUGUUGGUGGGGUAAUGGCCUACCAAGGCGUCGACGGGUAGCCGGCCUGAGAGGGUGGACGGCCACAUUGGGACUGAGAUACGGCCCAGACUCCUACGGGAGGCAGCAGUGGGGAAUAUUGCACAAUGGGCGCAAGCCUGAUGCAGCGACGCCGCGUGGGGGAUGACGGCCUUCGGGUUGUAAACCUCUUUCGACAGGGACGAAGCUUUGGUGACGGUACCUGUAUAAGAAGCACCGGCUAACUACGUGCCAGCAGCCGCGGUAAUACGUAGGGUGCGAGCGUUGUCCGGAAUUACUGGGCGUAAAGAGCUCGUAAGUGGUUUGUCGCGUCGUCUGUGAAUUCCGGGGCUUAACUUCGGGCGUGCAGGCGAUACGGGCAUAACUUGAGUGCUGUAGGGGAGACUGGAAUUCCUGGUGUAGCGGUGGAAUGCGCAGAUAUCAGGAGGAACACCGAUGGCGAAGGCAGGUCUCUGGGCAGUAACUGACGCUGAGGAGCGAAAGCAUGGGGAGCGAACAGGAUUAGAUACCCUGGUAGUCCAUGCCGUAAACGGUGGGCGCUAGGUGUAGGGGUCUUCCACGACUUCUGUGCCGUAGCUAACGCAUUAAGCGCCCCGCCUGGGGAGUACGGCCGCAAGGCUAAAACUCAAAGGAAUUGACGGGGGCCCGCACAAGCGGCGGAGCAUGUGGAUUAAUUCGAUGCAACGCGAAGAACCUUACCUGGGCUUGACAUAUGCAGGACUGGGCCAGAGAUGGUCUUUCCCUUUGUGGCUUGUAUACAGGUGGUGCAUGGUUGUCGUCAGCUCGUGUCGUGAGAUGUUGGGUUAAGUCCCGCAACGAGCGCAACCCUUGUCUUAUGUUGCCAGCGGUUUUGGCCGGGGACUCAUGAGAGACUGCCGGGGUUAACUCGGAGGAAGGUGGGGAUGACGUCAAAUCAUCAUGCCCCUUAUGUCCAGGGCUUCACACAUGCUACAAUGGUCGGUACAACGCGCUGCGAGCCUGUGAGGGUGAGCGAAUCGCUGAAAGCCGGCCUCAGUUCGGAUUGGGGUCUGCAACUCGACCCCAUGAAGUCGGAGUCGCUAGUAAUCGCAGAUCAGCAACGCUGCGGUGAAUACGUUCCCGGGCCU